rnacentral:rRNA from 1 species
UUUCAGUAGUUUACUACAGAAAAUGACUGAGCGGCGAACGGGUGAGUAACGCGUGAGCAAUCUACCUUAGUUACAGGGAUAGCCCGAGGAAACUCGGAUUAAUACCCGAUAUUCUUUACAUUUCGCAUGAAAUCAAAAGGAAAGGUCAGCCGAACUAAGAUGAGCUCGCGUUCUAUCAGCUAGUUGGUGAGGUAAAAGCUCACCAAGGCAACGACGGAUAGCUGGUCUGAGAGGACGAUCAGCCACACUGGGACUGAGACACGGCCCAGACUCCUACGGGAGGCUGCAGCAGGGAAUAUUGCGCAAUGAGCGAAAGCUUGACGCAGCGACACCGCGUGUGGGAUGACGGAUCUAGGUUUGUAAACCACUUUCAGGAGGGAAGAAAAUGACGGUACCUCCACAAGAAGCCCCGGCCAACUACGUGCCAGCAGCCGCGGUAAUACGUAGGGGGCGAGCGUUGUCCGGAUUUAUUGGGCGUAAAGAGCUCGUUGGCGGUUCAACAAGUCGGUCGUAAAAGUUCAGGGCUCAACCCUGAAAUGUCGAUCGAUACUGUUGUGACUAGGAUACGGUAGAGGUGAGUGGAAUUCCGAGUGUAGCGGUGAAAUGCGUAGAUAUUCGGAGGAACACCAAUUGCGAAGGCAGCUCACUGGGCCGC